GACGAACGCUGGCGGCGUGCUUAACACAUGCAAGUCGAACGGGAAGGCCUCUUUCGGGGGGUACUCGCGUGGCGAACGGGUGAGUAACACGCGAGUAACCUGCCCUCGACUUUGGGAUAACUUCAGGAAACAGGGGCUCAUAUCGGAUAGGAGCUCCUGCUGCAUGGUGGGGGUUGGAAAGUUUUGGGGGUUGGGGAUGGACUCGCGGCUUAUCAGCUUGUUGGUGGGGUAGUGGCUUACCAAGGGUUUGACGGGUAGCCGGCCUGGGAGGGUGACCGGCCACAUUGGGACUUGGGUACGGCCCAGACUCCUACGGGGGGCAGCAGUGGGGAAUAUUGCACAAUGGGUGGAAGCCUGAUGCAGCAACGCCGGGUGCGGGGUGACGGCCUUCGGGUUGUAAACCGCUUUCGCUCAUGACGAAGCUUUGUGUGACGGUAGUGGGUAAAGAAGCACCGGCUAACUACGUG
rnacentral:rRNA from 1 species